AUACGGAGGGUGCAAGCGUUAAUCGGAAUUACUGGGCGUAAAGGGUUCGUAGGCGGUUAUUUAAGUCAGAUGUGAAAGCCCCGGGCUCAACCUGGGAAUUGCAUCUGAUACUGGGUAACUAGAGUUUAAGAGAGGAGUGUGGAAUUUCCGGUGUAGCGGUGAAAUGCAUAGAGAUCGGAAGGAACAUCAGUGGCGAAGGCGGCACUCUGGCUUAAAACUCACGCUGAGGAACGAAAGCGUGGGUAGCAAACAGGAUUAGAAACCCCAGUAGUAGUCC
rnacentral:rRNA from 1 species